CUCUCGGGUAUAUAAUGGAGGCACUGGUCUCUCUCACCAUCACACCUCUUCCUCCACCUCCUUAGUGAACACGCCACGCCACUACCACUCUCAAAAAUGAGAUUCCAGCUGUCCUCCCUGAUCGCCAUCCUGUUUGCCCUUAUUGGGUUAGCAGUGGCAGCCCCUCAGCCCUUCUACCGCCGCCCCAGCCCCGUCCUGCAGCCCCGCCCUCACAUUGGUCACCACGGGGCGUACUAUCCUAUCAGCGUGGAGGUUCUGGGCCCCCAUGGCUUCCCUGUUAGCUAUGAACAGUUUGGUUAUGGUUAUGGAAAGUAAGAGGAACGGGUGAAGGAAGGAGGAAGAAGGAAGAAGGAAGAGGAGGAGGAGAAGGAGGUGGAAUGAUACUAGGCCA